rnacentral:rRNA from 1 species
GUGGGGAAUAUUGGACAAUGGGGGGAACCCUGAUCCAGCCAUGCCGCGUGUGUGAAGAAGGCCUUUUGGUUGUAAAGCACUUUAAGUGGGGAGGAGGCUUACCUGGUUAAUACCUGGGCUAAGUGGACGUUACCCACAGAAUAAGCACCGGCUAACUCUGUGCCAGCAGCCGCGGUAAUACAGAGGGUGCGAGCGUUAAUCGGAUUUACUGGGCGUAAAGCGCGCGUAGGUGGUUAAUUAAGUCAAAUGUGAAAUCCCCGAGCUUAACUUGGGAAUUGCAUUCGAUACUGGUUAGCUAGAGUAUGGGAGAGGAUGGUAGAAUUCCAGGUGUAGCGGUGAAAUGCGUAGAGAUCUGGAGGAAUACCGAUGGCGAAGGCAGCCAUCUGGCCUAAUACUGACACUGAGGUGCGAAAGCAUGGGGAGCAAACAGGAUUAGAUACCCUAGUAGUCC